UAGGGAAUAUUGCGCAAUGGGGGAAACCCUGACGCAGCGACGCCGCGUGAGUGAUGAAGGCCUUCGGGUCGUAAAGCUCUGUCGUAUGGGACUAACAAAAUGAAGGUACCAUGCAAGAAAGGAUCGGCUAACUUCGUGCCAGCAGCCGCGGUAAGACGAGGGAUCCUAGCGUUGUUCGGAAUUAUUGGGCGUAAAGCGGGUGUAGGCGGGCUUAUAAGUCAGGUGUGAAAUCCCAGGGCUCAACCCUGGAAGUGCACUUGAUACUGUAAGUCUUGAAUGUGGUAGAGGUUACUGGAAUUCCUGGUGUAGUGGUGAAAUACGUAGAUAUCAGGAGGAACACCGGAGGCGAAGGCGGGUAACUGGGCCAACAUUGACGCUGAGACCCGAAAGCGUGGGGAUCAAACA
rnacentral:rRNA from 1 species